CCGAGGAGCACUUGCCACUUCGGCGACGGGUCCGGAAAUAGUGUCUGUGCGUCUGUUAGACACAUGUUCAUUGUAUGGGCUGCACCUCGCGGGACAAGGCGACGACGUGUAUGUGUGUGUGUGUUUGUAUGUGAUUAUUACUAAGAGCACAUGCGUCGUACAUGUUUUUAUGCAUAUACAGAGCGUUUAUUGUCGGCCGACCCGACACAAUGUCACUGUGUCGACGUCGUUUAUAGUGUACUCUAUCCGCGUUUACAAACAUCCAGCUGUAUCACAAUUCACAAUACGAUCGGAUUAUGAUAGAAAAACAAAUGAUAAUGCGAGCUGACUUUUAAGUACAUUUGUAGUAACUACGCAAGUUUGCGACUCAGUUUCAUCGCGUAACAAAAUUUGUCCUGGCAGUAUUAAUGGCGAUAGCAACGUCAAGAUAAUCAUCUAGAGCUUCUUCGUGUCUUUUAUAUGGCCUACAAAAAUAUAUCGUGUUUACUGGUUGGACCAAGAAUUAAAAGACUGCUAUCUUCUUCCAGAUCAUGCAUUCAAGUUUGAGUGACAUAUUCUAAUGGCAGUUCUUCCCGUGCUGCAAUUGUGGUGGCGAGAUCCAAAAUGUUAAAUAGCUUUAAAUCCAAUGCUCAGGUUCUGCCGCUGUAAACGCUGAAUUGAACAAACAUGAUAAUACACAACAAUUUAACUAAAAAAUCUUAUCUAAGAUCCGAUGACCAAAGAACGUAUUUUAAAAUGAGAAACGGUAACCACUCUUGGUCUACAAUAUGUGUCAAUUGCUCCUCGUGAUCAAGUCAGAUGGAGUCGACAUUCAUUGUGUGUUAAAUCUGAAAUCAACGAUAAAUCAAUACAUACAAACAACACUUCUGAGUCAGAGUAGAUCUGUCAGAUUAAAUUACUAAGUAUAUUUACAUUACUAUUACAAUAAUUUAUCAUACUAUUAGUAAUAUAAUAUGAUGCU